UGAAUACGAGAUGCUACGGCGUCGAAGCAGUGUAUGUCAGACUUCCAAGAAAAGCUCGCAAUGUCAUAAAUAAAGAAUGCCUGUACCAUAACCGACACAGGUGGGUAGGUAGAGUAUACUAAGGGGCGCGAGAUAACUCUCUCUAAGGAACUCGGCAAAAUAACUCCGUAACUUCGGGAGAAGGAGUGCCUUCUUUAAGAAGGUUGCAAUAACAAGAUCCAAGCAACUGUUUAUCAAAAACACAGGUCUCCGCUAAGUCGUAAGACGAUGUAUGGGGGCUGACGCCUGCCCAGUGCCAGAAGGUUAAAGAAGUUGGUUAGCUUUUGCGAAGCUGAUGACUGAAGCCCUGGUGAACGGCGGCCGUAACGAUAACGGUCCUAAGGUAGCGAAAUUCCUUGUCGGGUAAGUUCCGACCCGCACGAAAGGCGUAAUGAUUUGGAUACUGUCUCGGAGAGGGACUCGGUGAAAUAGACUUGUCUGUGAAGAUGCGGACUACCUGCACCAGGACAGAAAGACCCUAUGAAGCUUUACUGUAACUUGAAAUUGAAAUUGGACUUUAUUUGCGCAGUAUAGGCAAGGCGUUGAAAGUAAUCUUGCGGGAUUAGUGGAGCCAUCAGUGAGAUACCACUCCUAUAAUGUUAGAUUUCUAACUUUGGAUCAUGAUCUGGUCAAAGAACAGUUUCAGGCGGGCAGUUUGACUGGGGCGGUCGCCUCCCAAAUGGUAACGGAGGCGUACAAAGGUUUCCUCUGAACGGGUAGAAAUCGUAUCUAGAGUGUAAAGGCAUAAGGAAGCUUGACUGUGAGACCUACAAGUCGAGCAGGGACGAAAGUCGGUCUUAGUGAUCUGACGGUGCUGAGUGGAAAGGCCGUCACUCAACGGAUAAAAGUUACUCUAAGGAUAACAGGCUGAUCUCCCCCAAGAGUUCACAUCGACGGGGAGGUUUGGCACCUCGAUGUCGGCUCAUCGCAUCCUGGGGCGGUAGUACGUCCCAAGGGUUGGGCUGUUCGCCCAUGAAAGCGGUACGCGAGCUGGGUUCAGAACGUCGUGAGACAGUUCGGUCCAUAUCCGGUGUAGGCGUUAGAAUAUUGAGAGGAGCCUUCUUUAGUACGAGAGGACCGAGAAGGACAUACCUCUGGUGUACCAGUUAUCGUGCCAACGGUAAACGCUGGGUAGCUAUGUAUGGAGAGGAUAACCGCUGAAAGCAUCUAAGUGGGAAGCCCACCUCAAGAUGAGUAUUCAC
rnacentral:rRNA from 1 species